rnacentral:misc_RNA from 1 species
GAUGAAGAACGUAGCGAAAUGCGAUAAGUAAUGCGAAUUGCAGAAUUCAGUGAAUCAUCGAGUCUUUGAACGCACAUUGCGCCCCCUGGUAUUCCGGGGGGCAUGCCUGUCCGAGCGUCAUUGCUGCCCUCAAGCACGGCUUGUGUGUUGGGCCUCCGUCCUCCUCCCGGGGGACGGGCCCGAAAGGCAGCGGCGGCACCGCGUCCGGUCCUCGAGCGUAUGGGGCUUCGUCACCCGCUCUUGUAGGCCCGGCCGGCGCUUGCCGACACAUCAAUCUUUUCUCCAGGUUGACCUCGGAUCAGGUAGGGAUACCCGCUGAACUUAAGCAUAUCAAUAAGCGGAGGA